ensembl:lncRNA
AGAACCCGAAGUAACAGAACCUAAAAAGACACAAGCCUCCAUUAUUGUGUCUGCAUGCCUGUAUUAGCAGAUGGCCGUGCCUGAGAUUACAGAACGCAUAGCAAACAUUGCCUCCCAAGAGAGGGUGCCUUUAACACCCCCGGCUGCCUCACCGUACCCCCAUGGUGAGCCCCAGCGAUGUGCUCACACAGACACCAUCACCCACCCUCUGCCCAGCCCUGCCCCGGUACCCACCGAAAAUGAGGGACAGAUGUGCAGAGCCUUCAACCACAGAUGCAUCAGAAAACAAGAUAAAGAUUUUGGCGAAUGAGUAAUUCCACCACUUUAUGGCAUCCACAGAUUUUGUUCCAAACACUGACAGUUUUCACAGCCGUUCCCACUGAAUUGCAAUGCACUGCUCUUUAGGCAGUGUUUCCUCACCACUGAGAAGCACUCCCGAAAUUACGCUAUCUACAUAAAUAUUGAAGGCAGCACUUUACAUCUCCAUCCCUGCGUUAACCCACAGAAGGAGGCUCCUCGUGGCGGCUGUAAGCAGUGCUGCAGGGCCCUGCUCCUGGUCAGCCUUCCAUCUCUGACACUCAACCUCUACUCAGAAAGAGGGCACGAUGUUGGGAUCAGCCUUCAUUAUGAAUCUCUAAACAGCGGAUGUGGACAAAUAGCUAAUAAAUGUUUGAUGUCAGAAUAACAAACCAGAGAUGGCAGAAAAAAAACCUGAUGAGGCUUUUAACCCCCAUCGGGUACGUCAGCUACUUGAAACUCUCCAGUGGGACCAAUGGCAGCUUUUAUAAAUCUCCAUUAGGAAGCAUUUCUUUCAUCGUGGAUGACUCGGUAAUCCCAGCAGGCUCACAGAGGGUUAUGGGGACUGCAAAACUCUCUCCUACUCUGCUCUGUGUUAAACUCCUAAAAUAAAGCACUGCAUCCAACAGGCUUUGCCAUAGGUGGUAAUAAUAAUGCUAUUUCAGACCACAUUCUUCUGCCAGCUAUUCUGGAGCAAAUCCAGAUUAAUUCCACCAAACUCAGCUUGAGCUGUUGCAGCUCUGCGGCAGCGCAGGGACAGCUUUGCGGGCCACAUGGCACAGCACCGAGUGCUGAAGGCUCCGAGCGGCACUGCCCAGCCCCGCUCCUCCCCAGGGCAGUUGGGAUACACGGUGUGCAAACAAUAUGCUGUAAAACAAAUUAAAAAACAGAAUUUCCUGCCAGCUGCCAAAGCUGCCUCUUUCGCCGCGCAACCACUUUGCCCACACAUCGAGGCUGGGACCAGACCCUGCAGGCCGCCCCGAUGCCUCCCUGCCCACACCACGCUCCCCAGGAGCAGCCCCACAGCACAGCCUGCUUGCAGCCUAUUCAUGACUGACCUGCCCUGGGACACCAAGAGAAGCGCUUUGUCCUGGAGACUGCGGUAGGUCUCCUUGUGCUCAGAUCGCCUCCUGAGCGCACACACUGCUAAAGGAAGAGGAAAAAUACCUUAAUUCUCCUACCAGCACUGAAACUACCGGUGCAAAAGGCACUAGGAAACGUCCAAGCACUUGAAAUCUUAGAAUCGUAGAAUGAUUUGGGUUGGAAGGGACGUUUAAGAUCUUAAUAAACAACUUUUUCAGGAUCUUCAGACGGCAACUUUUCUGUGUGAGUGCUUUCUGUUUGCCUGCUGCAGCACAGCACCCACCCAGAAGGACCACGAGGAGCCCAAGGAGGGGUGCAGGCAGUGGCGGACCUGAAGCGGGCUGGGAGGAGAGAGAUGAGCACAGAGCCAGUGACCACGGGCACAACUGCACUCCAGCCGGCUCUGCCAGACUCUGGCUUAUUGCUUGAGACCAGAAACCCUCGCGCCAUACCCCUCCUCAGCCACAGACACCCCCUGAAGAUGCCUGGGGCUCUCCCUACACCAGUGGAUGUGCCACACACUCCUUUGUGAAGCACUCAUUGCUGUGCAGACUGAAGUACGGCGUGUCAUGGAAACUGCUCGGAUAUUUUUAGAUGUGAAAAUGCACCAGUACAGUAAACUGGGACACAGAAAAGAAAACGAAGCCGUAGCCCAGCAUCAUAGCAUUCCUAACAGUGACUGUGGAACUGUAUUAACUGAAGUGCCAUUAACUCUGCUCUAGCUGACAUCGGAGAUGGAUUCCUGAUGGGGCUCAUCCUCUUUACAGCAGCUUGGUGCUUCCGCUGGGCAGCAGGCAGCAGCCUGAGGAAAGGAAGCCUCACUUCAUUCAAAUAAAAG